rnacentral:rRNA from 1 species
AGCAGCCGCGGUAAUUCCAGCUCCAAUAGCGUAUAUUAAAGUUGUUGCAGUUAAAAAGCUCGUAGUUGAAUUUCGGGACUAGUACGCUGGUCGUGCCUUCGGUAUGCACUGGUGUUACUGAUUCCUACCUUCUGACGAACCGUCAUGUCAUUCAUUUGGUGUGGCGGGGAAUCAGGACUGUUACUUUGAAAAAAUUAGAGUGUUUAAAGCAGGCUCGCGCUUGAAUACAUUAGCAUGGAAUAAUGAAAUAGGACGUUCGAUCCUAUUUUGUUGGUUUCUAGGAUUGACGUAAUGAUUAAUAGGGAUAGUUGGGGGCAUUAGUAUUCAAUUGUCAGAGGUGAAAUUCUUGGAUUUAUUGAAGACUAACUACUGCGAAAGCAUUUGCCAAGGAUGUUUUCAUUAAUCAAGAACGAAAGUUAGGGGAUCGAAGACGAUCAGAUACCGUCGUAG